rnacentral:lncRNA from 1 species
GGAUGAAUUUUCUUAAUUGGCAUGGGUCACAAGCACAGUUGUUUGUGACAGAGCCAGAGCUAAUCAAAGAAAUACUGAUGAAUAGAGAAGGUUUCUACCCGAAAAUGGAAAUGGAAGGGCAUGCUAAGAACCUGCUAGGUGAAUCUCUUAUAACGAAUGAGGGUGAAAAAUGGGCAAAGAUACGGAAACUGGCAAACCAUACUUUCCAUGCAGAGAGUCUAAAGGUAUAUCUUAGAAAUUAUGUGCAUAUUUGAUAUGACGCCGUACUAGACUUUAUAAUAUAAUGAACAAUAUUUUCGCUUCUUUUUGUACCAUAUUAUGGCUUCUAAUGUGAAGGGCUUAUCUUUAUGUAGAGUAUGGUUCCGGAAAUGAGUUCAGGCGUUGAGAUGCUGCUUGAGAGGUGGAAAGGUCAUAUCGGAGAAGAGAUCGACGUGUUUAAAGAGUUUGGAUUGUUAACAACCGAAGUAAUUUCAAGGACAGCAUUCGGAAGUAGCUACAUCGAAGGAGGCCAUAUAUUUGAGAUGGUGGCAAAGUUGACAGAAAUAACUGUUAGAAAUAUUUACAGAGUCAGAUUUCCUGGCAUAAGGUAUGUUACAUACGGUUGUGCUCUAUGUACAUAAUGAUUUAAGUAAUGGUUUACAUACACAUAAUGUGGUGAGAUGUGAUUGGGCAUAAUUUCUUCAUCUAGAUUAAGGGAAAAAAAGAAAAGAAAAAAGGAACUGCACUACUCUUUUUUAGGCAUCUCAUCUGUAUGUAAAUUAUUAUGUAAUUUCAUUAUGUACAAGCAUCAUCAUUCUAUUAUAUAUUCAAAAUAUUAUAUUCAAAUAAUGCAACUAAAAUUUUAUGACUAAUUGAUCAUCCGUUUUUGUAAACAUCUGCAGUAUGCUAUUAAAGUCAGAUGAUGAGAUCAAAGCAGAGAAACUCAAAGAAGGAAUAAAAAGUUCCAUCUUUGAGCUUGUAAAGAAGAGGGAAAAAGUGAAAAAUAACGGAGAAUUUGAAGAUUUCGGAAGUGAUUAUCUUGGACAACUGUUGAAAAUUUUUCAUGAAGCUGAUACAAAAAAGAGGAUUACAAUUGAACAGAUGAUUGAUGAGAUCAAAGCAAUGUAUGGUGCUGGACAUCUUACAACUACAAGCUUACUUUCAUGGUGUAUUUUUCUACUGGCAAUCCAUACUGAUUGGCAAGAGAAAGCAAGAGAAGAGGUGUUUGGAAUAUUUAGCAGUGAAAAACCGAAUUCAGAUGGCAUUGCACGAAUGAAAAUAGUAAGCCUUAUUCCCCUUAUUCCCUUUACAUUUGGGGUUGGCAUCGUGAAUCCUUUUAUACGACUCCGUGGGAUUUACUACUACAUCUACCCCUACCUAGCUAACCUAUUUUACUAAGAUCAUAUCACUCUUUCUCUAGUUACUAAUAAAAUAGCAAACUACAUGUUCUUGUCAGUUAAAAAUUUUUAUUUCGCCUUUUCGAUUAGUUUAUUUCUAGUAGUUCUUUCUUUAGCAAUCACAAUCGACCAUGUUAGCCCUCUUCUAAAGUGUUUGACGAAGAUCACAAAUAACUCAUGCUCAGUAGGCCGGUACAGUUUAUUAAUUUCAUAUUAUUUUUUGACAUGUAGAUGAAUAUGAUUAUCAACGAGUGUCUCAGACUAUAUCCUCCAGUUCUCACUUUAACAAGAAAAGUACAGCAGGGAGUUAAACUAGGGAAUCUGAACCUUCCAGGCAAUAUCAACAUCUUCAUUUCAAUUCUGGCACUGCAUCACAACCCUCAAAUCUGGGGCAAAGAUGUUCAUAUAUUCAAACCAGAGAGAUUUGCCGGGGGAGUUGCUAAAGCUACAAACAAUAAUGUUGCUGCAUUCUUUCCCUUCGGGGUGGGGCCUCGAACUUGUGUAGGCUUAAACUUCACCACCAAUGAAGCCAAAAUUGCACUUUCAAUGAUUCUGCAGCGUUACAAAUUCUUGUUAUCUCCUAAUUAUGUCCACUGCCCUGCUGAUAUUUUCAUUCUUACUCCAAAACAUGGGGUUCAAGUCAUUCUCCAAGCAAUUUAAAAGGAGAGAAGUGUUUCACUUCAAGGAUGACAGUAUUUAUAUGGUAGACAUAUAAAUUUUCUGCAAUUAUGUUUAGUAUCAUAAUGUAAAGUAUAAUGUUGGAAAACCUGUUCCAUAUUGCCAAAGAAAUGUGAAGCUAACUGCAUGUUUGAUUAAGCUUAAAAAAUUUACUUAUAAGAAAAUUUUAAGAAUUUAUUUUAUUGCUUAAAAUCAGAAAUAUAAGUUACUUAUUUAAUGGUAAGAAUUUCUUAACAGGUAAUAAAUUUUAAUCCUUGUCUUACAAAGGCAUGUACACUCGGGCCUUAAUUACAACUGCCAGUUUUAUUAAUGUCUGUUAGGAUAUGCAGCAAUUCAAGAACUCCAGUCGAUUGAAGCCGGAAAAAUGAAUAGAGAACAACUAUGUUUUGUUAAUCUACUGUUGAGCAAAGGAAGAAAAUUAUUUGAUGUAUUAUUGAUGAAAUGAGAUGCCCUUAUUUGAUGGUCAUUGUUUGGGGAAAAAAUGUUUUGGAUAUUGAAUUUUUAAAGAAUGCGUGAUUAAAAAAUAGAGACAAGUUUUAAGUUUAUAUACAUAAUAUUUCAUCACGUAAAUUUGUAUUUGAAAAUAAAUAUGUAGAAAAAAGAGUUUGGAAUUACAUGCCAUCAAACAUGGCUAAAGAAUUGAUAGGCAUUCAUAGAGCAAUCAUACUAUUUGUACAGUAUUUUUUUACAAUGUCAAUUGACAAUACACGCUUGACAACAUCACAUUAUCUAUUUUAAAAACCAUUUUUUAAAUUAACAGUCCAAAUUUUGACAACAUCAAUAGUAUCAUCCACAAUUGUCAACAAUAAUUGUACAAAUAACUUUAUUCUUCAUCGAGGCCUACUUUUACCUAAGUGCUAAAAGAUUGUUUGAGUGUUUUUUGAAAGCCUAGAAGCCCUAUUUGGAACUGAAAAAACACUUCUGAUUGAAUAGUGAUUGAUUAGUUGUAGUAAAAAUGUACACGAAGAAGCUUUUUAAGUUGUUUUUGAGAAGUUAAGGGUGUGUUCCUUUUUCGUUUUGGGACCUUUUUUUGUUUUCAGUUUUUGAAAACGGUGAAAACACAUUCUCUUUCCAUUUUUGAUGUUCUUGAAGAACACAAAAGCAGCAAAGAAUUUUAUGCGUGAAGUCACAAAUAUUAAUCCCUAAUUGGAUUUUGACAUAUGCGCCAUAUAUGCGGGACAUAUUUUGAAUAUGAAAAAGUCCGAAAUACAGAAAAAUGAACUUUUCUUUUUUCUUUUAUUAAAAUUGUCAUGUAUACGUAUAUGAUUCGGACGCGUGGCGUCCUCCACUCCCAUAUAUCAAGUAUACGUGACUGAUUGGUUGGUACAUGUUCGUUCAAUUUAAUUAAUUCCACUACUAGGGACGGAUGGGGACUGAGCUGGGCUAUAGUCCCCUCUCCCCCCCCCCCCCCCAAAGGCCCCAAAAAAAUUUUUUUUNNNNNNNNNNNNNNNNNNNNNNNNNNNNNNNNNNNNNNNNNNNNNNNNNNNNNNNNNNNNNNNNNNNNNNNNNNNGGGGGGGGGGUGGGGGGGGGGAGGGGGGGCUGGGCUGGGUUGUAGUCCCCCGCAAGGCCCAAGAAUUUUAUUUUUUUUGGUAAGGCAUUUUUCAUUUUUUUUUUUUUUUGCAAAAUUAGUUUUUUUUUUGUAAUUUUUUUUUCGCGUAUUAACCCGGCUUGAAAUUUUGUAGCCUGAUCUUGGAUCUAAUCCUGAUCUGUCCCUGUCCACUACAAUCUACAAUAAAUUAUAACUCUUCUAAUAUAAUUUAUCACGAUUCUUAUUUUGAAGCCAUUAAAGGGAUCUCAUCGGAUCCAAUUAAACUAAGCUCCAUUAAAUUAAAUUUGACCCCGAUUAUCUCUUGAUGGAUCAAAAGAACUAGUUAAUCUCGUUCUAUUCCAUUAAAGAACAAGAUUGCACGAUCAAUCUAAUUGAAACGAUUGAAACUGAAUGUUUGGUGGGAAUUAAAAUUAGAUUUUUAGUAGAUUGUGAUAAAAGUUUUUGAAAUGCGUGGUUAAAAAGUUGUGAAAUUUAUGAAAGAUUUGAUUAAUAUUGAUUGUUUGACUUUGACUUACAUUAAAAUCAUAUUUUAAUUUAAACCAAACAUGCACAUAUUUAUAUUAUCUUAUAUAUCGUUUUUACAUAACACCCGUCGACCAUUUCAAAUAUAUAGAACAAGGUAGAGAUAACCAAAAUGUGCUUUCCAAAUAUUCAAAGAUUCUCAAGUUCCAUUUUUUAAUUUUUUUUAUCUAAAAAUAUCAUGUGAUCACGUCACGAUAUUAAUUCAACAAUUAAUAUUGAAUUAUUAAACUCAGAUUUGAAUGUCUAAUAGAAAAUCUUGUGAGAUCAUGAUCGUACCCAUUAGAUAAAUGAUGAUUUCAUAUUACAUAUAUAUGUUCCCUGUUAAUUCAUUUUAAUAUCUAAGGCAAUGAAAUAUUGAUCAACAAUUUGAUCUCACCUAUUGAUACCUGAAAUAAGUUUAAGUUAGUAAUCAAAGUUUGUUACCCGUUUAUGACUGAAUUCCCAUAUAUGAUAGUCAAGUGAAAUUUGUAUGAUCAAUAUCACAAAUUAGAUUUCUCGUGAUCUAGUCAAUUACAUUCAAAAAGUACUCUCAAUCUUCCUACAAUCAAAGAUAGACUUUAAUAAAAUCGAGACAAUCUUAUCAAAGUAAAGUUUUCAUCUUUGUUUAUCGAUCAUGGACUUAUCAAAACAAAGUGUUUGUCUUAAUUUAUCAAUCUUGUACUUCAAAUUUUUAAAUCAAAUCUUUCCUACUUUAAUAACCCGUACACUCGCUUUCUACUAUCAAACUAAUAUACAAACAAAUGCAAGCUCAAAUCAAUGCACUCAAUUACAUCGAAAUAAAUUAUAUUUUAUUUCAAAAUAUCACGAUUACUGAUAUAUUUACUCAUAAGUAGAGAUGACAAUGGGCCGAGCUCGGCUCGUGCUCAAGGGGUGAGCUUGGCUUGGCUCGGCUCACGAGCUCGUGUGUUCACGAGCCAUGAGCUCUAUAGAUUUUUUAUUUUUUAUUUUUUUAAUUUAUUAUUAUUAUUUUUUGGCAAUUUUCAAACUUUUCUUCACACUUUUUACGAGCCCACGAGCCGAGGGCUCGUGAACUUUACGAACCAAGCACUCUACUCAUUGGUUCCCACCCCUGCUCGGCUUGUGCUCGGGCUCGUCAUUUGACGAGUUGAGUUUUAUUGAGUAGAGUAGCCAUUCGACCCGUUUGACAUCCCUACUCAUAGGCAAAUACUAUCCAAUACCAAUAUGUAAUAGUUUGUCACCAAUUCUUGGCAUAUAUUUCAUGUUUUUUACCGUUAACUUUAAUUAUGCAAUGCCUAAGGAGUGAGAAUUCAUAGAUCAUAGAGACGACUAGCAAAAAGGGGGCUUCUAAUCAAACUUUGAAUUCUUCGGGUUGCUGAGAUUUCGAAUAACGUCCAUGAUCAAGGGGUCAAGCGGAUGGCUUUUUCACUCUAGAAUCUUGCAUAUUUUAAUGAAAAAUUUUGCGUGACGAAAUCCAUGAUCUCAUCUUGUCUUUCAGUCUUCAUUAUAUACUAAGUUUAAUUAUUACUAAACCAAAAUAUAGGCAAUUAUUGUACUCGUCGAUCUCGGAUGAAUUGGACUCAUCCAUUGCUCCAAAACUCUCAUUAUCUCUGAAAACAUAAUAAAUGAAUGUGGUCCACGGCCUAAAACUCAAUUAAAGCCCGUCUCCGUUGCUCAACUGUGUAAUCAGUUUUUUCUUGAAUAAAGUUCCCAUUCAAUCUACAGUUUCUCUAAUGAAGCCAAAGCUGGGAAUUGGACUUAUGUGUCCUAUAUUUCUAACCAACAGAUUCCUGGCACCCUAGCCAUGGCCAAAAGUCUAGUACAUAUACAAUCCCAGGGAACUUCAAGAUUGAAUGAAAAAUGGAUUUAGUUACAGUUAUAUUAUUCUCUAUUUGCAGUACUUUAUGCUUCCAUUUUAUUCUGAUUCUAAUUAGAUUCAUUGAUAAGGUAUGGCGGACUCCAAUUCAACUACAGACUAUGAUGAAAUCACAGGGAAUCAGAGGUCCUCAAUACAGAUUUCCUCAUGGGAGUACCAAAGAAAUCUCUAAAAUGAGGAGCCAAUCUAUGGAAAAGCCAAUGGAAAUGUCACACAGUAUAUUUCCUAGAAUACAGCCUCAUAUUUAUUCGUGGACGAAAACUUAUGGUAAAUUUAGCUUCUUAUUAGAAUUUCUUGUUUUCUUAUUUGAUUUCAGCAAUGAACUGAGCAUAGUGGUGGAAAAGCUCUGUGUAAAUUUAAUCUCUUACUUGAAUGUUUUACUUUCUUGUUGACAGGGAUGAAUUUUCUUAAUUGGCAUGGGUCACAAGCACAGUUGUUUGUGACAGAGCCAGAGCUAAUCAAAGAAAUACUGAUGAAUAGAGAAGGUUUCUACCCGAAAAUGGAAAUGGAAGGGCAUGCUAAGAACCUGCUAGGUGAAUCUCUUAUAACGAAUGAGGGUGAAAAAUGGGCAAAGAUACGGAAACUGGCAAACCAUACUUUCCAUGCAGAGAGUCUAAAGGUAUAUCUUAGAAAUUAUGUGCAUAUUUGAUAUGACGCCGUACU